rnacentral:rRNA from 1 species
UACGGAGGGUGCAAGCGUUAUCCGGAUUUAUUGGGUUUAAAGGGUCCGUAGGCGGAUUUGUAAGUCAGUGGUGAAAUCUCACAGCUUAACUGUGAAACUGCCAUUGAUACUGCAAGUCUUGAGUGUUGUUGAAGUAGCUGGAAUAAGUAGUGUAGCGGUGAAAUGCAUAGAUAUUACUUAGAACACCAAUUGCGAAGGCAGGUUACUAAGCAACAACUGACGCUGAUGGACGAAAGCGUGGGGAGCGAACAGG